rnacentral:rRNA from 1 species
ACUCAAAGGAAUUGACGGGGACUUGCACAAGCAGUGGAUUAUGUGGUUUAAUUCGAUGGUAAACGAAGAACCUUACCAGGGUUAGAAAUCCUAGUGAAAGCCCGAGGAAACUCGGGGCCUCGCAAGACUCUAGGACAGGUGAUGCAUGGCCGUCGUCAGUUCGUGGUUUGAAUUGUACCCUUAAGUGGGCUAACGAACGCAACCCUCGUUGUGUGUUACAAGUGUCACACGAGACCGCCCCCGCCUAAGUUUUUAUUCUGUAUAGAAUGAAAUUUUAGGCGGGGGAGGAAGGAGAGGAUGACGCCAGGUCAGCAUGUCCCUUUGAUACCCUGGGCUACACACAUAAUACAAUGGCCACUACAACGCGUUGCGACGAGGCGACUCUGAGCUAAUCGUUUAAAAGUGGCCUCAGUUCGGAUUGGAGGCUGCAACUCGCCUCCAUGAAGCUGGAAUUGCUAGUAAUCGCAGGUCAGCUAAACUGCGGUGAAUACGUUCUCAAGUCUUGUACACACCGCCCGU